rnacentral:rRNA from 1 species
AAUGAACGUUGGCGGCGUGGAUUAGGCAUGCAAGUCGAACGCGAAUCCCUGGGCAACUGGGGAGGAGAGUGGCGAAAGGGGCAGUAAGGCGUGGGUAACCUACCCUCCGGGCCGGGAUAGCUUCGGGAAACUGAAGGUAAUACCGGGCGACGCAGCGAGAUCGCAUGGUCUUGCUGCCAAAGGUCCGCCGCCGGGGGAGGGGCUCACGUGGUAUUAGCUAGACGGCGGGGUAACGGCCCACCGUGGCAAAGAUGCCUAGCAGGUGUGAGAGCACGACCUGCGCCACUGGCACUGAGACACUGGCCAGACACCUACGGGUGGCUGCAGUCGAGGAUCUUCGGCAAUGGGCGCAAGCCUGACCGAGCGACGCCGCGUGUGCGAUGAAGGCCUUCGGGUUGUAAAGCACUGUCGAGGGGGAGGAAGCCGCAAGGUUGACCUAUCCCUGGAGGAAGCACGGGCUAAGUUCGUG